rnacentral:tRNA from 1 species
UGGGCGAUGGUGUAACGGUAGCACAGCAGAUUUUGGUUCUGUUUGUCCAGGUUCGAAUCCUGGUCGCCCAG